UCCAUGAAUAUGGAGUGGUCAGAGAUUAACAGCGGUGAACUAAUGCAGCGGUGCUGUUUGUUCCUUCUACCACUGUCCAUUCUGCACUACACUUAAACCACCCUUAACUGAUAAACCCUCUAAGAAAAUGAAGCUGGAAACUCGUCUUCAGCUUCACUGUUCCAGGGCAGUCCUCCAUGAUGGUACGGCUAAAUGGUCUGUGGAACUUUAGAAAGGAGUGAAUUGUUUGUUCUGCAGCUGUCUGAACUCUGAUGAUCCAGUCAUUCCACCACCUUAAAAUCCUACUUAUCACAGAAGAAGCUCCGUUAAGAUGAUCAUUGAGGGACAGCUUGUGAUGGACUGCAUCAAAGACUUGUCAAACGCUGUGCAUUCUGUUUGGACUCCUGUUCCCCAAGUCAACAAAGAACACGUUUCUCUUCAUCCAACAAACUUCUCCUCAUGUUGGGCUACAGUGAGUUAAAGCCCAAUCUGCAGACAUUCAAGAAUUAAAUCACUGUUCGAUUCA